rnacentral:rRNA from 1 species
GAUGAACGCUGGCGGCGUGCCUAAUACAUGCAAGUCGAGCGAACGGACGAGAAGCUUGCUUUUCUGAUGUUAGCGGCGGACGGGUGAGUAACACGUGGAUAACCUACCUAUAAGACUGGGACAACUUCGAGAAACCGGAGCUAAUACCGGAUAAUAUUUUGAACCGCAUGGUUCAAAAGUGAAAGACGGUCUUGCUGUCACUUAUAGAUGGAUCCGCGCUGCAUUAGCUAGUUGGUAAGGUAACGGCUUACCAAGGCAACGAUGCAUAGCCGACCUGAGAGGGUGAUCGGCCACACUGGAACUGAGACACGGUCCAGACUCCUACGGGAGGCAGCAGUAGGGAAUCUUCCGCAAUGGGCGAAAGCCUGACGGAGCAACGCCGCGUGAGUGAUGAAGGUCUUCGGAUCGUAAAACUCUGUUAUUAGGGAAGAACAUAUGUGUAAGUAACUGUGCACAUCUUGACGGUACCUAAUCAGAAAGCCACGGCUAACUACGUG